UACGAAGGGAGCUAGCGUUGUUCGGAAUUACUGGGCGUAAAGCGCACGUAGGCGGGCUCUUAAGUCAGGGGUGAAAUCCCGAGCCUCAACCUCGGAACUGCCUUUGAUACUGAGAGCCUCGAGGUCGGGAGAGGUGAGUGGAAUUCCUAGUGUAGAGGUGAAAUUCGUAGAUAUUAGGAAGAACACCAGUGGCGCAGGCUAAUCACUGGCCCGAAUCUGACGCUGAGGUGCGGAUUCGUGGGGAGGACUUAGG
rnacentral:rRNA from 1 species